AAUGAACGCUGGCGGCGUGCCUAAUACAUGCAAGUCGAGCGAACCGACGAGGAGCUUUCUCCUCUGACGUUAUCGGCGGACGGGUGAUUACCACGUGGUUAACCUACCUAUACGACUGGGAUAAUUUCGGGAAACCGGAGCUACUACCGGAUAAUAUAUUGAAUCUCAUGGUUCAAUAGUGAAAGAAGGUAUUGCUGUCACUUAUAGAUGGAUCCGCACCGCAUUAGUUAGUUGGUAAGGUAACGGCUUACCAAGGCGACGAUGCGUAGCCGACCUGAGCGGGUGGACGGACACACGGGAACUGAGACAGGGUCCAGACUCCGACGGGGGGAAGCAGUAGGGAAUCUUCCGCGAUGGACGAGUGGCUGACGGAGCAAAGCCGGGGGAGUGAUGAAGGACGUAGGAUCGGAAAACUCUGUAAGUAUGGAAGAAGAAAUGUGUAAGUAACUAGGCUCGUCUUGACAGUACCGAAUCAGAAAGCCACGGCUAACUACGUG
rnacentral:rRNA from 1 species